GUAGCUGCUCUUCUCAGCGUACUUAUCAGCUUGCAGUGCACCCACCUGCUGCAGAAUCCUCUCCCGCUUCAUCUGAUACUCUUUCAGCUCAGCUCGGUACAUCUCUUUCCUGUUCUUAACCACAGCCAAGAGACUAAACCGGAUCUCGUUCUGGAGAUACCGGUCAAUCCUCUCUUGCACCACAGGUUGGACCAUUUUGAGCCACUCGAUUCCUUCUGGCUCACCGAGACAUUGUCCAAGGCUGAUGGGUCCUUCUUUAAGACCAUCUAGCUCGUAUAAGAUACCAUCGACAGGUAAGUAGCUGAUGUAGUGAUACACAUCAUCAUCAUCCUCUUCCUUUUUCUUCCUCCUAGCAGAUAACUCAUCCUCGUCCGUGGUGGUGGAAGAUGAGUCAGGCCUAGCAAAGGUGUUGUGAGCCGCACGUAUCGCCUCGUUGUUGCUGAUGGCUAAACCUUUGAGCUCAGGUGGGAAGUCUUUAGCGAACUCUUUCAGUUCAGACAGUUCAGAACCGAUCUCGAUACCCGAGGAGUUCAUGAGGACAGACAGUAAGGCUUGUGUAGCACAAGCAUUUGACGCGUUAACUGCUGUAGCAGUGGUUGAUGAGCUUGAUCCGAAGGAGGUUCUUGAGUUGUUUCUCGACUCGAGGAAGACUUGGGUUCUGCAAAAGUUGAAUGCUUGUAGUGGUGAUGAUGCUGGGAGUGUUGUUUCGGUGUUUUGUGAUGUGUUGAGUGUGGUUCAGGUUACUGUGGGACAAGUCGGUGAGCUUUUUUUGCAAGCGUUGACUGAUAUGCCUCUGUUUUAUAAGACGAUUUUGAGCACCCCUCCGGCUUCUCAGCUGUUUGGUGGGAUUCCGAAUCCGGAAGAGGAGGUUGCGCUGUGGAAAUUGUUUAGAGAUAAUUUGGAAUCUGUUAUGGUUAUCUUUGAUAAAGUUGAUAUUUCUAAGGCGUGCCUGACUUGGUUGAGGGAAUGCGGUGGAAAGAUUGUUGGUAAGGUUAGUGGGAAGCGUUUGAUUGAAGCUAUUGUUACUGGUGCGGAGCUUGGAUCAGCGGAGAAGUUGAUCAGAGAGACCAUGGAUAGUAAAGAGGUAUUGAGUGGUAGUUUAGAUUGGCUUAAAAGUGUUUUUGGGUCUGAGAUAGAGCUGCCUUGGAAUAGAAUCCGGGAGCUUGUUCUAGCAGACGAUUUGAACCUAUGGGAUGAAAUAUUUGAGGAGGCAUUUGUGGAAAGAAUGAAAUCCAUUAUUGACUCUAGAUUUGAGGAUUUGGCUAAAGCUGUCAAUGUGGCAGAGUUGGUUCAUGCUUAUAGCGAGAUCACUGGUGAGAAGAUCAACUUCCAAGCAUACUUAAACAGACCUUCUACAGGUGGUGGUGUCUGGUUCAUCGAGCCUAACGCUAGGAAACCUGGUUUUAUUGCCGGAAACAAAAUGUCACCUGAAGAAAGCGACUUCCAAAGUUGUCUAACGGCGUACUUUGGUCCUGAAGUUAGCCAAAUCAGAGAUGCAGUUGAUCACCGCUGCCAGAAUGUUUUAGAAGACCUCCUAAGCUUCUUUGAGUCAGAAAAGGCAGGUCCGAGGUUAAAGGAUCUUGCUCCAUACGUACAGAGUAAAUGUUAUGACAGUGUCUCAGCACUUCUCGCAGAUGUAGAUAAGGAACUCGAAUCUCUCUGCGCUGCCAUGAAGAAAGGAAACAACGACAGCGAAGCAAUUCCACCUGCUAUAAUAAUUGAGAAAUCGCUUUUUAUGGGACGCCUUUUGUUUGCAUUGCUAAACCACUCAAAACACCUUCCCUUGAUUCUCGGUUCUCCAAGGUUGUGGUGUAGAGACAUUAUGACUGCAGUUUCUGAUAAGUUGUCAUCCUUGUUGAGACAACCAAGAUUUGGCUCGAAUACUGCAGGGACUCCUGACAGCCCUGGAAAGCUGUUGCAUACCGAUCUUAGGAAGCAGAGUUCGUUAGCUGUUGCGGCACUACUUAAGGCAGACGAGAAGACAAGUCCAAAAUUCGAAGAGCUUAAUAAAACUAUGCGAGAUAUGUGCAUUAAGGCUCAUACAUUGUGGAUACAGUGGUUAUCGGAUGAGCUCUCCGCUAUUCUCUUGCGGGAUCUUAGGAUUGACGAUGGACUGUCUGCUACAACUCCUUUAAGGGUAACUAAAAGCUGAUUCUUAUCCUUAUUUUUCUUAGUUGUCGUCUCUCUCCUGCAUUGAUAUUAGAUAUUGCUGACUAAUAUUCAUAGUUAGUUGUUCGCUUUCUUUGUUUUUGGUGGAAAUAUUUCCAGGAACUACUUUAUAUCUUGAUUCUUUGAAGUUCAAUGAGAUAGUUUAGUCUUGCUCUUUUGUUGUGUCUGAACUCAUCUUUGAAGUGAUAAUGCAGGGUUGGGAGGAGACAAUAGUCAAGGAAGAGCAGGGCGAGAGUGAGUUGAAGAUAUCACUUCCGUCCUUGCCUUCGCUCUAUAUAAUUUCAUUUCUCUGUCGGGCAUCAGAAGAGAUUCAUCGAAUUGGAGGCCACGUACUGGAUAAGUCAAUUUUGCAAAAGUUUGCUUCAAGCCUGUUGGAGAAGGUGCGUUGUCUUGUCUCUGUUUACUUACUUUCCUGUGAUUAUUUUCUACAUGCUGCAGAAGUGUUUCUGGCAAGGAACAAUGUUCUAUUAAAAAUAUUUGUGAUAGUUAUUCCCUUCUUCACACUUGUUCCCUUUCAUCAGUAAAUAUCUCCAAGCUAGUGAUUGCUUAUAAAAAUGAUUUUUUUUUCAAUGUUCCAUUGUACAAUGCAGAUCAUCAUUAUUUAUGAGGAUUUCUUAUCUGCCAGGGAGGCCAACGAACCCCAAAUUUCAGAGAAGGGGGUUUUACAAAUUUUACUGGAUUUGAGAUUUGCAUCGGACAUUCUUUCUGGGGGUGAUACAAGCACCAAUGUGGAGAUACAACCAAAGAUCACAAUGAACAGAUCAGCUUUCAGGCGAAAGCAGGGCCAACAGCAAACAAAGUCAGUCAACAGAGGUCGCAUUGAUGGAGUAAUCUCCCAACUGACCCAAAAGUUGGAUCCCAUAGACUGGCUCACGUAAGGAACCUUAUUCAUAAACUCUGAACAUGUCACAUGUUUACUAUUUUGUCCGUUCUAAGAAAUUCAUGGGAAUCUUGUGGUCUUAUCGUUUACUGUCUCAAUUAUUUUCUGAUUCUAGUAUAUUUUGAAAUGUGUCAAAAAAAGGUACGAGCCUUAUCUCUGGGAGAACGAAAAGCAGUCAUACCUACGCCACGCAGUACUAUUUGGAUUCUUUGUGCAACUAAACCGAAUGUACACAGAUACUUCCCAGAAACUACCAAGUAACUCAGAGUCAAAUAUCAUGCCAUGCUCCACAGUUCCCCGCUUCAAAUACCUUCCCAUAAGGUAAGCUUUUCUUCUUCCACACCUGAAACUAUUUGUAGCCUUGUGGGAAAAAUGGUUUCUCAUAUCCGGUUAAUGCAGCGCUCCGGCUCUGUCCUCUAGAAGUACAAAUAAGGUCUCCACUCCAGUUACAUCAAAUGAAAGUUCGUCAAGAAACUCAUGGAAUGCAUUUACAAAUGGCGAGCUUUCUCAAACAAGUGAUUUGGAAGAUGACUCCAGUUUCGGCGUGGCUUCCCCGUUCUUAAAGUCUUUCAUGCAGGUACAGUCUAGUCUCCUCGGUUGAUCAGUGGCUCAAUAGUUUUUCAUAAUUUGUUCAAUAUCGUAAGAUCAUGUAAUAUAUGUUUCAGGCUGGUAGUAGAUUUGGGUCAAUACUAAGUGACGGACAAGUUGGAAUAUUCAAGGAUAGGUCAGCAGCCGCUAUGUCGACAUUUGGUGAUAUAAUACCAUCUCAAGCAGCCGGUUUACUCUCUUCUUUCACAACCACAAGGUACGAGUGAUGAUGAUGAUCUUCGGUUUUGUGACUAAACCUAUGAUGAUUGCAGCAGCUGAGAUAUCUGCCAUUAAAGAAGUUUUUACAUAAACGAAGAGUACAAGUUUUGUAAUUGUGUUCGAUUUAUUGUUUCAUGUAAUUAAGAGAUUUGGUUCUACAAAAAUCCUCAAGACUGAUACAAUCAAACCCUCAUACAUAUAAAGUUUUAAUAUCCUUGCAAAAAACUGAUUAAGGUAUUAACGUCUAGCUUUCUCAAUGAGAGGCUUGAGCUUCUUCUUGUCUGCAAGAAUCUUGAGGAAGUUGAAGAGGAAAGGGACAUAGUUAUGUUUCCUCCUCAAGUUCUCUUUCUUCCAGUUCUUAGCCCUCUCUUCCUCCAUUACAAUCUUCUGCGACACUGUCUCGAUGCCGACAUUGACUUCAGAAAGAGAUUUAUCCAGAGCCUCGUAACUGCUCUUCUCGGCGUACUUAUCAGCUUGCAGUGUACCCACCUGCUGCAGAAUCCUCUCCCGCUUCAUCUGAUACUCUUUCAGCACAGCUCGGUACAUCUCUUUCCUGUUCUUAACCACAGCCAAGAGACUAAACCGGAUCUCGUUCUGGAGAUACCGGUCAAUCCUCUCUUGCACCACAGGUUGGACCAUUCUGAGCCAUUCGAUUCCGUCUGGCUCACCGAGACAUUGUCCAAGGCUGAUGGGUCCUUCUUUAAGACCAUCUAGCUCGUAUAAGAUACCAUCGACGGGUAAGUAGCUGAUGUAAUGAUACACAUCAUCAUCUUCCUCUU
rnacentral:lncRNA from 1 species